AGAGUUUGAUCCUGUCUCAGAACGAACGCUGGCGGCAGGCUUAAUACAUGCAAGUCGAACGGUUGUAGCAAUACAGCAGUGGCAGACGGGUGAGUAACACGUGGGAACCUACCUAGGGGUACGGAAUAACUCAGGGAAACUUGUGCUAAUACCGUAUACGACCUCAGGGUGAAAGAUUUAUCGCCCCUAGAUGGGCCCGCGUUGGAUUAGCUAGUUGGUGAGGUAAAAGCUCACCAAGGCGACGAUCCAUAGCUGGUCUGAGAGGAUGAUCAGCCACACUGGGACUGAGACACGGCCCAUACUCCUACGGGAGGCAGCAGUAGGGAAUCUUGGACAAUGGGCGAAAGCCUGAUCCAGCCAUGCCGCGUGAGUGAUGAAGGCCUUAGGGUUGUAAAGCUCUUUCGCCAGGGAAGAUAAUGACGGUCUAGCGUUGUUCGGAAUUACUGGGCGUAAAGCGCACGUAGGCGGUUUUCCAAGUUGGAGGUGAAAUCCCCGGGCUUAACCU
rnacentral:rRNA from 1 species